rnacentral:rRNA from 11 species
UGAAGAGUUUGAUCAUGGCUCAGAUUGAACGCUGGCGGCAGGCUUAACACAUGCAAGUCGAGCGGUAACAGGGGUAGCUUGCUACCCGCUGACGAGCGGCGGACGGGUGAGUAAUGCAUAGGAAACUGCCCAGUAGUGGGGGAUAGCCCGGGGAAACCCGGAUUAAUACCGCAUACGUCCUUCGGGAGAAAGCAGGGGAUCUUCGGACCUUGCGCUAUUGGAUGUGCCUAUGUCGGAUUAGCUGGUUGGUGAGGUAAUGGCUCACCAAGGCGACGAUCCGUAGCUGGUCUGAGAGGAUGAUCAGCCACAUCGGGACUGAGACACGGCCCGAACUCCUACGGGAGGCAGCAGUGGGGAAUAUUGGACAAUGGGGGCAACCCUGAUCCAGCCAUGCCGCGUGUGUGAAGAAGGCUUUCGGGUUGUAAAGCACUUUCAGUGAGGAGGAAAAGUUAGUCCUUAAUACGGGCUAGCCUUGACGUUACUCACAGAAGAAGCACCGGCUAACUCCGUGCCAGCAGCCGCGGUAAUACGGAGGGUGCAAGCGUUAAUCGGAAUUACUGGGCGUAAAGCGCGCGUAGGUGGUUUGAUAAGCGAGAUGUGAAAGCCCCGGGCUUAACCUGGGAACGGCAUUUCGAACUGUCAGGCUAGAGUGUGGUAGAGGGUAGUGGAAUUUCCUGUGUAGCGGUGAAAUGCGUAGAUAUAGGAAGGAACACCAGUGGCGAAGGCGGCUACCUGGACC